rnacentral:rRNA from 1 species
ACGCGAUAAGUAGACCGCCGGGGGAGUACGGUCGCAAGAUUAAAACUCAAAGGAAUUGACGGGGGCCCGCACAAGCGGUGGAGCAUGUGGUUUAAUUCGAUGCAACGCGAAGAACCUUACCUGGCCUUGACAUACUAGAAACUUUCCAGAGAUGGAUUGGUGCCUUCGGGAAUCUAGAUACAGGUGCUGCAUGGCUGUCGUCAGCUCGUGUCGUGGGAUGUUGGGUUAAGUCCCGCAACGAGCGCAACCCUUUUCCUUACUUGCCAGCAUUUCGGAUGGGAACUUUAAGGAUACUGCCAGUGACAAACUGGAGGAAGGCGGGGACGACGUCAAGUCAUCAUGGCCCUUACGGCCAGGGCUACACACGUGCUACAAUGGUCGGUACAAAGGGUUGCUACACAGCGAUGUGAUGCUAAUCUCAAAAAGCCGAUCGUA